rnacentral:lncRNA from 1 species
UGGCAAGGAAAAUCUGUCCAUAUAUAUUCUAGCAUGCAUCAAGAAAUAAAUAUGAUUUUCAGCAGCUAAGUAAGACGCAAAGAGUGUUGUCAUUAUACUAAGCAAGGCAAGCAAUUGGUAUUUAAGGGGCCACAUAAAUAUAUGCAAAGAAAUUAUGGCAUUCUGAAAGACAUGUAAGAUAUGUGAUAACAAGCUAAUGUAAUAAGAUACAGGAUUCUAAUUAUUAAACUGAUGCUUUCUCUGGUGUCUCUAAGCUCCAAUAUCUUAGUUGUUCAUGUAUCUGAAUGUUUUUUCUUCGAGAAUACAUGCAUGUUAUGGGAGUAAACUGUGGAUAGUCUCUCUCUAAUAUCAGAAGUGGAAAACAGUGUAAACAUUAACGUGCAUGCAAAUCCGUAUCAACACUUUCUACAGAUAUUUUUCCAUAAUGGAGGAGCAAUUAACAUCAUGGAGGUUUUAUAUGCAUUCAUUUUUAUUAGCAAGAUUCUCUUACCAUGCUGGGGUUCUCGUUUUCUCGUAGUCCUGAUAUCAACAGUAAUAGACGUUGCAAAUUUCUAAGAUUAGUAAUAUCUUCAUCAGUCAUUGAAGAUGGUCUGGAGGGAGAGAACGGUAACGAAGUUGCAACUGCAUUUGUUACUGAAUCGAGAGUUGCAACACCAAGUGCAACCAUACCCUGUAAA